AGAGUUUGAUCCUGGCUCAGGAUGAACGCUGGCGGCGUGCCUAAUACAUGCAAGUCGAGCGAACGGACGAGAAGCUUGCUUCUCUGAUGUUAGUGGCGGACGGGUGAGUAACACGUGGAUAACCUACCUAUAAGACUGGGAUAACUUCGGGAAACCGGAGCUAAUACCGGAUAAUAUUUUGAACCGCAUGGUUCAAAAGUGAAAGACGGUCUUGCUGUCACUUAUAGAUGGAUCCGCGCUGCAUUAGCUAGUUGGUAAGGUAACGGCUUACCAAGGCAACGAUGCAUAGCCGACCUGAGAGGGUGAUCGGCCACACUGGAACUGAGACACGGUCCAGACUCCUACGGGAGGCAGCAGUAGGGAAUCUUCCGCAAUGGGCGAAAGCCUGACGGAGCAACGCCGCGUGAGUGAUGAAGGUCUUCGGAUCGUAAAACUCUGUUAUUAGGGAAGAACAUAUGUGUAAGUAACUGUGCACAUCUUGACGGUACCUAAUCAGAAAGCCACGGCUAACUACGUGCCAGCAGCCGCGGUAAUACGUAGGUGGCAAGCGUUAUCCGGAAUUAUUGGGCGUAAAGCGCGCGUAGGCGGUUUUUUAAGUCUGAUGUGAAAGCCCACGGCUCAACCGUGGAGGGUCAUUGGAAACUGGAAAACUUGAGUGCAGAAGAGGAAAGUGGAAUUCCAUGUGUAGCGGUGAAAUGCGCAGAGAUAUGGAGGAACACCAGUGGCGAAGGCGACUUUCUGGGCUGUAACUGACGCUGAUGUGCGAAAGCGUGGGGAUCAAACAGGAUUAGAUACCCUGGUAGUCCACGCCGUAAACGAUGAGUGCUAAGUGUUAGGGGGUUUCCGCCCCUUAGUGCUGCAGCUAACGCAUUAAGCACUCCGCCUGGGGAGUACGACCGCAAGGUUGAAACUCAAAGGAAUUGACGGGGACCCGCACAAGCGGUGGAGCAUGUGGUUUAAUUCGAAGCAACGCGAAGAACCUUACCAAAUCUUGACAUCCUUUGACAACUCUAGAGAUAGAGCCUUCCCCUUCGGGGGACAAAGUGACAGGUGGUGCAUGGUUGUCGUCAGCUCGUGUCGUGAGAUGUUGGGUUAAGUCCCGCAACGAGCGCAACCCUUAAGCUUAGUUGCCAUCAUUAAGUUGGGCACUCUAAGUUGACUGCCGGUGACAAACCGGAGGAAGGUGGGGAUGACGUCAAAUCAUCAUGCCCCUUAUGAUUUGGGCUACACACGUGCUACAAUGGACAAUACAAAGGGCAGCGAAACCGCGAGGUCAAGCAAAUCCCAUAAAGUUGUUCUCAGUUCGGAUUGUAGUCUGCAACUCGACUACAUGAAGCUGGAAUCGCUAGUAAUCGUAGAUCAGCAUGCUACGGUGAAUACGUUCCCGGGUCUUGUACACACCGCCCGUCACACCACGAGAGUUUGUAACACCCGAAGCCGGUGGAGUAACCUUUUAGGAGCUAGCCGUCGAAGGUGGGACAAAUGAUUGGGGUGAAGUCGUAACAAGGUAGCCGUAUCGGAAGGUGCGGCUGGAUCACCU
rnacentral:rRNA from 1 species